GAUGAAGAACGUAGCGAAAUGCGAUACUUGGUGUGAAUUGCAGAAUCCCGUGAACCAUCGAGUUUUUGAACGCAAGUUGCGCCCGAAGCCGUUAGGCCGAGGGCACGCCUGCCUGGGUGUCACACAUCGUUGCCCCCCCAUCUACUCCUUCGGGAUUGCGGGGGGCGGAUGAUGGCCUCCCGUGCGCCUCGCCGCGCGGUUGGCAUAAAUGCCAAGUCCUCGGCGACGCACGCCACGACAAUCGGUGGUUGCGAAACCUCGGUUGCCCGUCGUGUGCGGUCGUCGCGCAUCGAGGGCUCGAAAAAAUUGCCGGGUUCCGGCUCGGCUUUCAACGCGACCCCAGGUCAGGCGGGGUUACCCGCUGAAUUUAAGCAUAUCAAUAAGCGGAGGA
rnacentral:misc_RNA from 1 species